UAUGGAGGUCAAUGAGAGAAGUGUCCAAUUUGGUCAACGACAACAACAACAAAAAUGAAUGGGUUAUUUGCUACGUGAGGUUUAUUUGAUCGAAUUGAAGUUUCGUAAUGCUUAAAAGUUGUUAAGAGUGUACUGAUAUAAGUAGGAUACGUGACAUCCCGGCAACUUUGAGAAAAAACACUUUAUAUUGGAGUUGUCUACAUUUAUUUUUAUUUAACUAGUAGCGUAUCAUCUUUAUUUUAUUCAUUAUACAAAAGUACCAGCAAUGGACAAUUUACAUCCGUCCGUAAGUAGGCCGUCAUUGUAAAUACGAAUUUGUUCUUAACUGACUUGCCUAGUUAAAAGGUUACAUUUUUUAAAAAAACAUCCCUACAUCAAACAUGUCCAACAAAACACAAGUUUAAACAAGAAAAUCCUAAAUACAUAAAAAAAUAAUAAUAUGUGCAAUUGCUCAGAUUGCUCAGUAAUUACUCAGAUAAAUAUCUCAAUGAUUCAGGAAGAUGUUAUUAUUUGUGUUAUUCAGUGUGGAUAAUGUCUUAACAAAUCAAAUACUUUUUAAUGUUGGUGUAGAAUUCUGCAAUUUUGAUUUGGCAACAAGAAUAAAAAAUUCACAAUCAUUUCAAUGGUCUUUUAUCAUUGCAAUAGUAACAAAUGAUGUCCUUCAUGUCAAAAACAUGGGUAGUGUUCAAAAAGGUUUUCCCCAAAAUCUAUCAGACAUUUACAUUCAUAUAACAAGUGUGUAAUAUUUUCACCUUGUUUUUCACAAAAAACGCAGAUAUCAUCAAUAUCGACACAUUAGGACAACAUAGAUAUAUCGUAUGUAGAAUCUUAAGGUGCACUUCCUUAAAUUCGUUUGAUAUAAAAUAUUUGUAAGGCAUCAACCAAGCUUUUUUCCAGACAAGGUCCAGAAUAAGCAUGUUCCAGGUUUAAGUUGGUUCUGUGAAUGGAAAAUGUGUCUUAUGUAAUUGAAACAACAUUUCUCAAGUAAGCCCCGCCUUCCAAGCUAAGUUCUAGAUAAGCUCUCUCCCAAGCUGAGUUCUGGAUACGCUCUCUUCCAAGCUGAGUUCUAGAUACGCUCUCUUCCAAGCUGAGUUUUAGAUAAGCUCUCUUCCAAGCUGAGUUCUGGAUACGCUCUCUUCCUAGCUGAGUUCUAGAUACGCUCUCUUCCAAGCUGAGUUCUAGAUACGCUCUCUUCCAAGCUGAGUUCUAGAUACGCUCUCUUCCAAGCUGAGUUCUAGAUACGCUCUCUUCCAAGCUGAGUUCUAGAUACGCUCUCUUCCAAGCUGAGUUCUAGAUACGCUCACUUAUUUUCCCAGAUGAAGUCAAGAAAGGUCUUGUUGAUUUCAGGUAGAGGGGAGUUACCGUCCCUCUGCCUUGGACAGAAGCCCUCUCCCAGGUAUAGAAAGAUCUCUUUGUAGCCAAUUAUUAAAAUAUAUUCUUGGUUUUCUUGACUUUAGAAGAGAAGGUCAUAUGUUGUCAGAUUAAGUGGGUUUUUGGAUAGAUGUAUUCUUUAAAUAUUUAACAUCAUAGAGUCAUAUAAACAUACGAUUUUACAUGUAGAAAUAUGCAGUUUUAACCCAGAUGGAGUACAGGAUGCAGUGAUAACAUUAAGGAUAUGGACAACCUGGUCUUUGUCUUUAAAAAAAUAGUAGUAUCAUCAGCCAGUUGGGACAUGUUGAUUUCUCUGUUAAAAAUGGACAAGCCAUACAGAUUUGCAUUAUUCAGAAUUUCUAGAGAUAGAAGUUUCCGCUACCAAAAUGAGUAAAAAGGUGAAAUCGGGCAUCUCUGUCGACACUUCUGUUGAUAUUGGUUAUUUUGGAUGUAUUAAGGUUUAGUAUCACACAACUAUUUAUAUCUUUGUAAAACAUGCAAAUGACUUUUCUUUUUUUUCUUCUUUUUUUUUACCCGAAACCAAAAAGUUUAAGAGGCCGAAAGAUAAAUUCAUGUUCAAUUGUGUCAAAAAGGUCCAGAAAUAAAAUAACAGCAUCUGAAUCAAAUGCAUUUGAUUAAAAUGUAAAAGGUCCAAGACUAAAUGUUGAAUGUUGGAACUUAUGUGACGGGCCCGUCAUAAAUCCUGUUUGAGUCUAAUUUAUUAUGGCAUCUAUUCCUUUCUUUAAUCUAUUGGCGUAAACCAGAGCAAUCAAUUUGUAAUCAAUAUUUAAUAAAUUAAUUGGGCUCCAAUUGUCAAUGAGAGUAGGGUAUUUAUCAUGUUUUGGGAAUCAGUGAAUUAAGACCCUUUUUCAUAGUGGAGACCAUUUUACAAUUUUCAAUGCAAUCUUGAAACGUAUAAAACAAUACGCUCUUCAAGUAACUCCUCAAACUGCCUUAGAAUUAAACUGCCAAGCUGUUAGGCUCAGGUGGUUUCCCUUUUUCAUUGAAUUCAGAGCCUCUCUAAUGUCUUCGAUUGAAACACAGGUGAAUCGCAAACUGAGUGGAAGUCAUCUUCAGUUACAGGGAUAUCAUUCUGAAUGUGGCAAAUGUAGCUUUCACAACCAAUCAUCCUGAAAUUGUGAGUUGAAAAGGUUUUCAUGAAAGGAAUUGACAAAUGUUGCUAUUUGUAACGGGAUCUAUCCGUGCUUCUACACCUGCAUUGCUUGCUGUUUGGGGUUUUAGGCUGGGUUUCUGUACAGCACUUUGUGACAUCAGCUGAUGUAAAAAGGGCUAUAUAAAAUAAACCUGAUUUGAUUUGAUCUUUGCAUAAUACAUCAUUCAUUUUAGAGUGGCGUUAUAGAUUUUCUUUUGUAGUUUCUCUUUUCAAUUGCAAAGAAAUAACUGGUGAUUCUUUCUCCCUCUUCAAUCCAUUUUGCUCUUGACCUUACAAAGUCGCCCUUUGAUCCGUGUAAAACUGUUCUAAUUCUAGUUGUAAAGACUUAAAUACAGACUCCUCUUCUUGAGAUAGAUUAUCUUUCUUUAGAAAACUGUCAAGCUUGUUCAUUAUCUCUUUUUCUCUAAGGCUCUUUAAGUGCUUCAGCUCUUUGGCAUGUUUAAUGGCUACAACUCUGACUUUAUAUUUGAAAAAUUCCCAUCUACUUCCAUGACCCUUGUCUUCUCUCUAAAAAAUAUCGUUGGCUCACGAUUUGAUGUUUCCAAUGAAAAUAGAAUCUUUAAGAAGUGUGUUGUUUAAUUUCCAAUAUCCUCGAAUACCCUUUUGUGACGUAGUUUUCUGUGUCCAGGUAUAACCCUUUGAAUCCAGAUUGAAAUAACGCCAGGCGUCAUCAACACAGAGUUCCUUACACAACGUUGUGAUGAUAUUGUCUAUUUUGAGAGCUUUGACUCCUUCGAGGAGGAAAAACGAUCAGCAGAGUCAUCAGGUGUUUUGGUUAAAAGCUCCUGAGAGAAUUAGAAAAGCCUCUUGAGUAUUUGUUACGUAAAUCCUGUCCUUUUCUGGUUAGUUUGGAGCAAAAAGGGUUUUAUUAGGAGCAUGUGAUUUAUGUCCGUACACAUUGCAGAUGAUGGAAAUGGCAUUGUAAAGUUAAACAGUUACUAUGACCCAUCUAACCAUUCUGUAAAGAUGUGGAUUCUACAACGUCUCCUUUUAACUAGCGGAUUAGUGUCUAAACACCAGCAGAAUGGUUUGAUCCAUGACAGAGAGAGGCCAUGUCAACCCCACUGUGACUUCCACCGCGUACGGACGGGGGUCACCGCUGUUGACUGAGGUAAACAAUGCAAUUGUAUAUGCAUCAGAGACAAUGCAAAUGUUAUUACAUUUAUUUAUUUAUUUAUUUAUCCAUUAUUUUACCAGGUAAGUUGACUGAGAACACGUUCUCAUUUGCAGCAAAGACCUGGGGAAUAGUUACAGGGGAGAGGAGGGGGAUGAAUGAGCCAAUUGUAAACUGGGGCUUAUUAGGUGACCAUGAUGGUUUGAGGGCCAGAUUGGGAAUUUAGCCAGGACACCGGGGUUAACACCCCUACUCUUACGAUAAGUGCCAUGGGAUCUUUAAUGACCUCAGAGAGUCAGGACACCCGUUUUAACGUCCCAUCCGAAAGACCGCACCUUACACAGAGCAGUGUCCCCAAUCACUGCCCUGGGGAAUUGGGAUAUUUGUUUAGACCAGAGGAAAGAGUGCCUCCUACUGGCCCUCCAACACCACUUCCAGCAGCAUCUAGUCUCCCAUCCAGGGACUGACCAGGACCAACCCUGGUCCAACCCUGGACUACAACCCUGGACCAACCCUGGACUACAGUAUAUUACAUAUACUGUAGUCUUUCAAAAUGUGCGAUUUAAAUUAGUGUUGUUUGUCUAUUGCUAUUUUUGUAUAACGUACUUUCAGAUCACUGAAACCCCACCUGAUGUGGACGUUGUGGCACCAGAUCAGAACACCUUCGAGGAUCACCUUCAGGCACGGACCGAGCAGGAAGUGGAGGUUUUUGACCAGGUGAGACUGAACAUGGACAAGGCCCAUGAGAAACAGAAGGAGACCUACCGGAGCAGAAUCAAGAAGGGGACCAAGUGCUAUGACAUCCGGGCGAAUUACUUGGUUAGGAAGAAGGACAAAAGGAAGGCGAGACCUGGGAAACCUUGCUGCUCUUUCACUCCUAGCUGGGGUCACCUUCUGUUAAAGGUUACUUCGGUGGAAGCCAACAAUCUUGUUGGCGUCCAAAUCCCUGACGCCCUACACUUCAGUGAAGCCCAAUGAGCAAAGACCAUCGACUGUCCGAGCCUCCCAGGACGUAUCCCAUCUACCAGAACCAGUGAGUUUGGAUCAGUCUGAUUUUCUGUGCUCUGAGUCGGAGGGGGACCAGCUUUGAGGACCUAGGGGUUCUGCCCAACACCCAGACCUGGACCCACCUGAUGUCCUCCAUUACCUGUUCUCCAGGACCUAGGGGUUCUACCCAACACCCAGACCCACCUGAUGUCCUCCAUUACCUGUUCUCCAGGACCUAGGGGUUCUACCCAACACCCAGACCCACCUGAUGUCCUCCAUUACCUGUUCUCCAGGACCUAGGGGUUCUACCCAACACCCAGACCUGGACCCACCUGAUGUCCUCCAUUACCUGUUCUCCAGGACCUAGGGGUUCUGCCCAACACCCAGACCUGGACCUACAUGAUGUCCUCCAUUACCUGUUCUCCAGGACCUAGGGGUUCUGCCCAACACCCAGACCCACCUGAUGUCCUCCAUUACCUGUUCUCCAGGACCUAGGGCUUCUGCCCAACACCCAGACCCACCUGAUGUCCUCCUUUACCUGUUCUCCAGGACCUAGGGGUUCUACCCAACACCCAGACCUGGACCCACCUGAUGUCCUCCAUUACCUGUUCUCCAGGACCUAGGGGUUCUACCCAACACCCAGACCCACCUGAUGUCCUCCAUUACCUGUUCUCCAGGACCUAGGGGUUCUACCCAACACCCAGACCUGGACCCACCUGAUGUCCUCCAUUUCCUGUUCUCCAGGACCUAGGGGUUCUACCCAACACCCAGACCCACCUGAUGUGGGUCGCUGUAAAAAUGUAUUUUCCAUAACUGAAAAUAUUGUAUACUUGAAAAAAUAUAUAUAUAUUUUUGGAAGCUGGUGUACAAAACUGAAAGUAAAAGAUGCAAAAACAAAACUUAAGGAGUAUCAUAGAAAUAGCUCACAUAGAACAGAUCUUCUGUCAAUGAGAAUGACAGCUCUCUGUGGCUCUACCCACAUUUCUAAAUUCAUUUGGUUGGGUCGCCCCCAAAAAAGUUUGUUAUUGCAGCUUUAAUUUUCUGCAUUGACCCUUUUCGCACUAACUUUUUUUUUGACUCAUUACAUUACUGCUGCUGCGGUUAUCUUUCACUUUAUUCCUAGUUAUACAGUACAUUCGGAAAGUUUUCAGACACCUUGACUUUUUCCACAUUUUGAUAGGUUACAGUAUACUGUACAUUCGAAACAUAAAAAAAAAACAGAUACCUUAUUUACAUAAGUGUUCAGACCCUUUGCUUUGAGACUCGAAAUUGAUCAUCCUUGAGAUGUUUCUACAACUUGAUUGGAGUCCACCUGUGGUAAAUUUAAUUGAUUGGACAUGAUUUGGAAAGGCACACACCUGUAUACAUAAGGUCCCACAGUUGAAAGUGCAGGUCAAAGCUAAAACCGAGCCAUGAGGUCGAAGGACUUGUCCUUAGAGCUCCGAGACAGGAUUGUGUCGAGGUACAAACCUGGAGAAGGUUUCCAAAAAAUGUCUACAACAUUGAAGGUCCCCCAAGAACACAGUGGCCUCCAUCAUUCUUAAUUGGAAAAAAGUUUGGAACCACCAGGACUCUUCCUAGAGCCGACCGGCCAAACUGAGCAAUCGGGGGAAAAGGGCCUUGGUCAGGGAGGUGACCAAGAACCCGAUGUUCACUCUGACAGAGCUCCAGAGUUCCUCUGUGGAGAUGGGAGAACCUUCCAGAAGGAUGCAAGAGAAAGGCCACAAUGUAUUAUUCCAGUUUAGACGCAAUUUAGAUUUUGCCCAGUAGAUAGCAGCAGUGUAUGUGCAAAGUUUUAGACUGAUCCAAUGAACCAUUGUAUAUCUGUUCAUGUUGUGUCAAGGCUGCCCAAAUGGUUUAUUGGUUUAUUUUAUUAAUAUAUUUUGGAAGUUGUGCACUCUCCUCAAACAGUAGCAUGGUAUUAUUUCACUGUAAUAGCUACUGGACAGUUCAGUUAGAUUAACAAGAAUUUAAGCUCUCUGACAAUAUCAGAUAUGUCUAUGUCCUGGGAAAUUAUCUUGUUACUUAGAACAUCAUGCUAAUCACAUUAGCGCACGCUAGCUCAACUGUCCCGCAGGGGACAAACCGAUCAUGUAGAGGUAAAAAAAAAUUGGUUUCUACUGACAAUUGAGACGUACAAACUAAUUUUGAUUAUGACAUUAAUGAGCGAGAGCUAGGACGGACGUAGUCAAUAACUAUUUGUUCAGCACUUUUGAAAUGUACAGCGACAGAAUUCAGAACAUGGGCCGUUCUUACAGUGUACUCUCUGUACAAGUCAGAACCGUAGGAUAAAUAAAGGGGUCAUAUCAACAGACAAUGAAAGCUCUUACAAUAUUAGAUGAUUACAUUUCUCUACGACAGGUUAUAGGCUACAUGUGCACCACCAAGUUAGAACAGUAGGCAAAGUUUUUCGAGUUUAUGUUUUUUUGACUGUGUAAAAUGUUCAAAGUAGUCAUUGUGCAUUGAGUAAACUUUGUCUCUGCACAGUUCUGCCUUCAAAUGUAUUUGUGGAAAAUUUUCUGUGUACAUUUUAUAAAGUAGUCCUUGUGCAUAGAA